rnacentral:rRNA from 1 species
GGGUUGUGAGGUUAAGCGACUAAGCGUACACGGUGGAUGCCCUGGCAGUCAGAGGCGAUGAAGGGCGUGCUAAUCUGCGAUAAGCGCCGGUAAGGUGAUAUGAACCGUUAUAACCGGCGAUACCCGAAUGGGGAAACCCAGUGUGACUCGUCACACUAUCAUUAACUGAAUCCAUAGGUUAAUGAGGCGAACCGGGGGAACUGAAACAUCUAAGUACCCCGAGGAAAAGAAAUCAACCGAGAUUCCCCCAGUAGCGGCGAGCGAACGGGGAGGAGCCCAGAGCCUGAAUCAGCAUGUGUGUUAGUGGAAGCGUCUGGAAAGGCGCGCGAUACAGGGUGACAGCCCCGUACACAAAAGCGCAUGUGCUGUGAGCUCGAUGAGUAGGGCGGGACACGUGGUAUCCUGUCUGAAUAUGGGGGGACCAUCCUCCAAGGCUAAAUACUCCUGACUGACCGAUAGUGAACCAGUACCGUGAGGGAAAGGCGAAAAGAACCCCGGCGAGGGGAGUGAAAAAGAACCUGAAACCGUGUACGUACAAGCAGUGGGAGCACCCUUUGG